CCAUAACCUACUUUUCACUCUCGGAAGCAGCCAGGUUAGCCCGUCCGUCGUAGCCAGCGGUGGGAAAGACCAGGGAAGUGCCGUGCACCGCCAUGGACAUCCCCCCGCCCACCGAGCCGAAGCAGUGGUACAUGGGCACGGGCAGACAUAUCCGAACCUUGGGCUAGGACCGCAAAGCAGAAGGACCCUUCAGAUGUAAAUUAGCCAUGAUCUUAGUUCAACUCCCCCCCCUCUCGCGGUGUGCACACGCCGCGGGCAGUUGGCUCAAGAUGGUGGCUGCAUCUUAAGCAGUGUGAUAAGAUGCAGAGUGCAGAAAAAGAUUUCAAUAAGCCACGAGGGACAUUGAACCGUCUGGUCAUCCCUGCCUACCUCCCAGUCUGUGAGCAUGAGGAGCGGCGGGUCAACACAGAAUCAAAGCUUCAGCUUGUGGAUUUGUUUGUUUGUGGGAACUAUUGGAGGGAAAUUCCUGUCCAGGGGAGUCCGCAUCCGCUUAGUUGUGUUGGACAAAACAAAUAAACAGCUAUGGGAGUUGCUA